UACGUAGGGGGCAAGCGUUGUCCGAAGUUACUGGGCGUAAAGCGCGCGUAGGCGGGUUGGUAAGUCCGCUGUGAAAGCCCGGAGCUCAACUCCGGAGGGUCGGUGGAUACUGCCAGUCUUGAAGGUGCUAGGGGGAGAUGGAAUUACCGGUGUAGCGGUGAAAUGCGUAGAUAUCGGUAGGAACACCAGUGGCGAAGGCGGUCUCCUGGGGCAUUCUUGACGCUGAGGCGCGAAAGCUGGGGGAGCGAACGGG
rnacentral:rRNA from 1 species